rnacentral:rRNA from 1 species
GAUGAACGCUGGCGGCGUGCCUAAUACAUGCAAGUCGAGCGAAGCGGGGACGGGUGAGUAACACGUGGAUAACCUCCUAUAAGACUGGGAUAACUUCGGGAAACCGGAGCUAAACCGGAUACUUAUACAUGGAUCCGCGCUGCAUUAGCUUGUUGGUAAGGUAACGGCUUACCAAGGCACCUAUGCAUAGCCGACCUGAGAGGGUGAGCGGCCACACUGGAACUGAGACACGGUCCAGACUCCUACGGGAGGCAGCAGUAGGGAAGUUUCCGCAAUGGGCGAAAGCCUGACGGAGCAACGCCGCGUGAGUGAGGAAGGUCUGCGGAUCGUAAAGCUCUGUUAUUAGGGAAGCGGUACCUAAAGAGAAAGCCACGGCUAACUACGUGCCAGCAGCCGCGGUAAUUC